UAUAAAAAUACACAAUAUUCAAAUAAGUAUUAAAAUUAGAAAAGGUAAGCGACUAUCCUUCUAUGGUAGAAAUUCUGCUCAACUGAAAUUCCCAAACUUUUCAAAUCCAACAGCUCCUCAAUUCAACAAAAUUUCACGAUUCUCUCUGUCUAUAACUGUCCGAGAUUAGGGUGAGGUGAGUUGCAAAGAAAGGGUGGUGUUUAUUGAUGUAAAAGUUAAGUAUGAACAAGAAAUCCAGUUGCUGCUCCAUUUGUGAGAAUUCAAAUCGCGCUUCUAUUUGCGCUGUUUGCGUCAAUUAUAGAUUGAAUGAGUACAAUACCUUGUUGAAAUCAUUGAAGAGUCGUCGUGAUUUAUUGUAUUCAAGGUUGAGUGAAGUUCUUGUUGCCAAGGGGAAGGCAGAUGAUCAAUUAAAUUGGAGAGUGAUUCAAAAUGAGAAGCUUGCAAAUUUGAGGGAGAAGCUCCGUUGUAGUAAGAAGCAACUCAUUCAAGGGAAGGCUAAGAUUGAGAGGAUAUCUUAUGAUUUAAAUAUCAAAUAUGGGGUGCUUGAAUCAGCUCACAGUGUGUUACAAAAAAACCGAGUGGACCAACUGGAGAAGUUCUUCCCAAACCUUAUUUGCACUCAGAGUUUAGGGCAUAUGGCAAUUACCUCUGAACUACUUCAUAAGCAAUCAGUCAUUGUAAAGCAGAUGUGCAAACUGUUUCCCCAACGUCGGGUGAAUAUAGAAGGGGAGAGAAAAGAUGGCACUAAUGGUCAGUAUGAUCAAAUAUGCAAUGCUCGCUUACCAAGAGGACUCGAUCCUCACUCUGUUCCAUCAGAAGAGCUUGCUGCUUCCCUGGGAUACAUGGUACAACUUCUAAAUCUUGUUGUUCGUAACUUGGCUUUCCCUGCACUCCACAACUCGGGCUUUGCAGGUUCUUGCUCUCGAAUAUGGCAACGCGAUUCUUAUUGGAAUGCCUGUCCUUCUUCUCGAAGCAAUGAAUAUCCCCUUUUUAUACCACGCCAAAAUUAUUGCUCUACUAGCAGUGAAAACUCAUGGACUGAUAGAAGCUCAAGUAAUUUUGGUGUGGCCUCAAUGGAAUCAGAGAGAAGGGCCUACCUUGAUUCUUCUCGAAGUAGCAGCUUCAAUUAUUCUUCUGCUUCUCCACAUUCUGUUGAAACGCACAAGGAAUUGCAGAAAGGGAUUUCACUCUUGAAGAAAAGUGUAGCAUGCAUAACAACUUAUGGUUAUAACUUGCUAUGUUUAGAUGUGCCUUCUGAAGCAUCCACUUUUGAAGCCUUUGCAAAAUUGUUGAACACUCUAUCGUCUUCCAAGGAAGUUCGAUCUGGUUUUUCCUUAAAGAUGGCUUGUUCAAGGUCAUGUAAGCAAGUUCAAAAAUUGAAUAAAUCUAUAUGGAAUGUGAAUUCUACCAUUUCAUCAAGCACUUUGCUUGAGAGUGCACAUGCAUUACACUUAACGAAAAACCUAAUUGAUAAUAACCUUCCAAAUUCAGCUACUAGUUUCCUUUAUGGCACUGAGAUAUCUGAUACUGGAAAGAAUGAAGGCCUGAUUGAUGGAUGGGAUCUCGUAGAACAUCCCACUUUCCCUCCUCCGCCAUCACAAGCUGAAGAUAUUGAACACUGGACUCGAGCCAUGUUUAUUGAUGCUACAAAAAAAUAAUCUGAUCCCUGACCACAUGCACUUGCCAGUGAUCCUUAGUUUUCCAAGUUUGUCAGUAUUAUUAAAGCUUCCCCCACUUUGUUUGCUGAAAGAUUAACAAGUAGAUUAGCUACUCUGAUCUAGUCUCGUUUCUGUUGAAAUUGAUUGGUUCAGAGGGAACACAACCCAGAAAACAGGUAGUUUGAAUCUUUGACUUGUAAAGCUUUAACAUGGUUGGCCUUCAUCUCCCUCUCUUGUAAAUACAGAAAAUCCAACAGUAGGUGGGAGAGGACAGGAUGAUCGUUCCAUGGCCUACUGCAAUUCUUUGGAUAGCAUUGUUUAUCUACCUUUUCAAAAGUAGUAAAUGUCUAAAAUUUAAUAAAUUUACAUUUCCAUACCUAGUAUUUAUUCACAUUUAUAAGUUUUUAAUUCUUUCUUAUAAUACUAAUAAUUAUUAUAUUCCUAAGGAUUUACUUUUGUUACUUCUUUUGUAAUGAUAGAAUAAAUUUGGGAGAAAAUAAGUGUUCAUUAAUUUUUGAUUUUGUUA